rnacentral:rRNA from 1 species
GACGAACGCUGGCGGCGUGCUUAACACAUGCAAGUCGAACGGAAAUGCUCUGCUUCUGUGGGGUGCCCGUGAGGCGAAAGGGUGAGUAACACGUGCGUAACCUGCACUCGACUUCGGGCUAACUUCAGGAAACUGGGGCUACUACCGGACAGGUGCUACUGCUGCAUGAUGAUGGUUGGCACGUUUCGGCGGUGGGGGAUGGACGUGCGGUUUAUCAGCUUGUUGGUGGAGUAGUGGCUUACCAAGGCUUUGGCGGGUAGCCGGCCUGAGAGGGUGAUCGGCGACAUUGGGACUGAGGGACGGCCCAGACUGCUACGGGAGGCAGCAGUGGAGAGUAUUAUGCAAUAAGGGGAAGCCUGAUGCAGCAGCGCCGCGUGCGGGAUGACGGCCUUCGGGUUGUGAACGUCUGUCACCGGUAACGUUGCGGGAGUGACGGUAAUGAGUAAGGAAGCACCUGCUAACUACGUG